rnacentral:lncRNA from 1 species
UAUUGAUCCUAUUUUAUAGAUGAGGAAACUGGAGCUUGGGAGAAGAUAUAUAGCUUGCCCACAGAUAGCCACGUCCAAUCACCUUUUCUAGCUAAAGGCGGGGAUGAUGCUGACCCAGGGAGCAUCUCUUCCCUGAAGUUGCAAGACUUCCAGGAUCAAAAGCCCUUCAGGUCUGGGUGUGCAAUCCAGUGGUAGAGUGUCUGCCUGGCAUGCAUGAGGUCCUGGGUUAUAAUCCCAGAACCAACAACAACAACAAAACAAAUAAAUAAAAACAAGUUCUGCGAAGUCCUAACUCCCACAGUGAGCCAGGAGUGAUGUAUCUGAGAGCUCAGAAGCUAAAAGCCACCAGAUAGCCAGAAGACGACAGCAGGGAUGAAUUGUGGAAAAAAUGGAAGUUUCUAGCUAAACACCGGUGACAGUGUUGUCACCCCAGAUGGGCCAGGUGUGAGUGGAGGAAUCAGAAGCUGAAGCCCAUCCAUCACAAUGUACUGCUUAGUACAGAGGACAAAUAAGUGCACCCCUAUUCCUUGAGUCUUCUAUGGAAUUGUCAUAGAAUAUCUAUUGGUCUGUCCUUCUCCCCUCCCUGCCUACUCUCUGCAGAAAGAACCAGAAAAGCUGGCUGUGAAGGUCAGCACCUUUCCCUGGGUGCUCUGGAGUACAUAAAGCCAGAGUACAUUUCCUCCUGCCUGCUAUGAUAAGGUAUUGCUGGUGACUUCUGACCUACGCUUUUGACACCUAGGAAGAGAUUUAUUGUAUUUGGUUAAGAGUUUGGAAGACAUGCUCCUAAUUACAUAAUGUAUCACUGUCUAAUGUCUCUGGUUUUCCUUCACCUAUGUUUGCAUUACAUUUACCACUGAAAUGUAAAAAUUGAAAGGUAUAGAAAGCCGAGUUUCUAAAAAG